AGCCAUUGAUACAAAACCAGAACUUUUCUGACACCUCGUAUGAAGGCUGGUAACAGCCCCUGACACCUCGUAUGAAGGCUGGUAACAGCCCCUGAUUUGAACUGUGCUGAGGCUC